CCUACGGGUGGCUGCAGUGAGGAAUAUUGGUCAAUGGACGAGAGUCUGAACCAGCCAAGUAGCGUGAAGGAUGACUGCCCUAUGGGUUGUAAACUUCUUUUAUAUGGGAAUAAAACGUUCCACGUGUGGGAUUUUGUAUGUACCAUAUGAAUAAGGAUCGGCUAACUCCGUGCCAGCAGCCGCGGUAAUACGGAGGAUCCGAGCGUUAGCCGGAUUUAUUGGGUUUAAAGGGAGAGUAGGUGGAUUGUUAAGUCAGUUGUGAAAGUUUGCGGCUCAACCGUAAAAUUGCAGUUGAAACUGGCAGUCUUGAGUACAGUAGAGGUGGGCGGAAUUCGUGGUGUAGCGGUGAAAUGCUUAGAUAUCACGAAGAACUCCGAUUGCGAAGGCAGUUCACUGGACUGCAACUGACACUGAGGCUCGAAAGUGUGGGUAUCAAACAGGAUUAGAUACCCCAGUAGUC
rnacentral:rRNA from 1 species